UUUUAAAAAGUUACUAUUUCUACUAUUAAAAAUUGGUAUAGUUGACAGAAUAACUAAACAGUGACACAUGAUGUGCCACGUGUAUCUCAUACUGACAUACAAAACUAGUUUUUAAUAGUAAAAAUGGCUGAAACUUUUAAUA
rfam:Gossypium hirsutum cultivar TM-1 unplaced genomic scaffold scaffold280.1, whole genome shotgun sequence